rnacentral:rRNA from 1 species
GACGAACGCUGGCGGCGUGCUUAACACAUGCAAGUCGAACGAAGAGCGAUGGGAGCUUGCUUCUAUCAAUCUUAGUGGCGAACGGGUGAGUAACGCGUAAUCAACCUGCCCUUCAGAGGGGGACAACAGUUGGAAACGACUGCUAAUACCGCAUACGAUCUAAACUCGGCAUCGAGGAUAGAUGAAAGGUGGCCUCUACAUGUAAGCUAUCACUGAAGGAGGGGAUUGCGUCUGAUUAGCUAGUUGGAGGGGUAACGGCCCACCAAGGCGAUGAUCAGUAGCCGGUCUGAGAGGAUGAACGGCCACAUUGGGACUGAGACACGGCCCAGACUCCUACGGGAGGCAGCAGUGGGGAAUCUUCCGCAAUGGACGAAAGUCUGACGGAGCAACGCCGCGUGAGUGAUGACGGCCUUCGGGUUGUAAAGCUCUGUUAAUCGGGACGAAAGGCCUUCUUGCGAAUAGUGAGAAGGAUUGACGGUACCGGAAUAGAAAGCCACGGCUAACUACGUG